GACGAACGCUGGCGGCGUGCUUAACACAUGCGAGUCGAGCGGUAAGGCUCCUUCGGGAGUACACGAGCGGCGAACGGGUGAGUAACACGUGAGCAAUCUGCCCUUCACACGGGGAUAACCCUCGGAAACGAGAGCUAAUACCCGAUACGACCACUUCAGGCACCUGAUGGUGGUGGAAAGGUACGGCGGGGAAGGAUGAGCUCGCGGCGUAGCAGCUUGUUGGGGGGGUAACGGCCCACCAAGGCAACGACGGGUAGCCGGGCUGGGAGGGUGACCCGCCACACUGGGACUGAGACACGGCACAGACUCCUACGGGAGGCAGCAGUGGGGAAUAUUGGACAAUGGGCGAAAGCCUGAUCCAGCAACGCCGCGUGAGGGAUGACGGCCUUCGGGUUGUAAACCUCUUUCAGCAGGUACGAAGCGCAAGUGACGGUACCUGCAGAAGAAGCACCGGCCAACUACGUGCCAGCCGCCGCAGUAA
rnacentral:rRNA from 1 species